rnacentral:ncRNA from 1 species
GCUAGGGGAGCCACUUGGCUGAGAAAUGUACAUUGACCCUUAUCACUUGAACCGGGUAAUGCCGGCGUAAGGAAGCGA